ACGGAGUAUUGAGACCCGCGUCUGUUGAUGGCAUGGUCGAACUUGGGUUGAUGACUGGGAUCGUGGACGAAACUUCGCUGUUGUCGUUGGAGAGAAUUGUGAUGGCUGUGGCUUCGGAUACAAGAACACCAUCAUCGAAGGAGCAUGAAAUGGGAGUGGAAUUACCCGAGAUUGGUACGUGCAGAUGGUGACUCGUUUCAUCAUUACGUGCAGACGCGGCUGCAGGUUGUGCAGCAGCAUAGGCAGCUGCGCGAUGAGGCGCACGGUUUAUUAGUUGGGGGCUUGUGUUGUAGAAUUGGGUGACCACCGCGCGCUGGAAUAGCUCAACAGGGUUCCUGGUUGCUUUGGCUCUUUGCAAAUAAUGGCUUUGCCGCCGUCGCCUUUCCUCGACCACACAUCGAUCACUCCGGUCUCAUAUAACACGUGUAGAGCCCAGUGCUACAAUGCUGUGAUUUGUUCACAUCCAUCGCGAGGCUGCUCCUCGAGGCUCGUUUAUCGUGAUUCCGUAGUAAGAAUUCCUACCGAUCAAUCUUGCCUGUAAUUAGGAAUCAACUUAUUUGAGAACUCCCUUCUUUCACGGUGAGAGAUUUGGCGAUUGUUUUCAAAGUGUUGGGAAGGAAAAGCCCCUGAAUCUUGUAACAUUUCCUUAAGCGUGGCGUUUUGGGCAUAUUUUCUAUUUUAGGGCAACAAUUGGAUGUUGUGUGCUGGAGAAUUCUUGAAUGGCGAUUACUACUUCCAGUCUUUGCAACUCCUGGUAUAAAAUCGACGUGUAUGUAGACAUUCAAAGGGUCCGUCGCUUCAUUGUAUAAUCAAGGCAAUUGCGCCCAGUAUUCGCUAGUUUGUGCACAUCGUGGCAUGCGGAACGCGGUACAUCAUUUUUUGGGGCGAAACUAACUAAAGAGGAAAUUGGAGCAGCUGUUGCAUGUCCUCUUCGACGAGUCACUGCCGCUUCUACUACCUGCUUGGAGCAGCUCUGAAUCUUCGUUGCUUGUUGAUUAUUCACAGCAUCCAUGCUGGUAAUCUUACAGCAGAUAUUGCUUUGAUCACCUGACCUUGUAAGUCCUUUGGUACAUCAUUAGCUUGAUCCUCUUUACGAUAAUGAUAUUAAUAGUUUUUAAUUUGGCAAUGCUUCCAAUCGUCAUAUACUGUUGGGUCACCCAUCCGGAUUGUUAGAUGAACACUAAUUAUGACAUCAAUCUCUUAACCGUGAUAGAGCAGGUUAGCUGUUAAGAAACAUAAUCUACCAACAGUAAUUAUAAGUUUUUUUGUUAAGUAGAUUAUGAACAAAUGAGUAGAAUAGAAAGGAUUUUGUUGACCUCAAUUAUCAACAAACAAUACAAUAAAACAAAUAAAUAAACAUAAAGAAAUGCUUAACACAUCAUCUCGAGGUAGUUUCGACAAUAGUUCAAUAAAAAAUCAAACAGAACAUUGUAUCUAUUCCAAAAAUAAACAUCACAUAACUGAUACAGACAAGUCUUCUGUAAAUAUCACGUAACUUGUUGAGUUAUGAUUGUUUUUAUACCAUUAUAGCGUCUGCAGACUACUUUCUGACACGUUGUUACAGCUUCCCGUUGUCAGUUUAGUUAUCUACUUAUACACGAGAUAUGUAGUAAAAUAAAGCAAAUGUUCCUGUACUAUUUUAUUUGUCCCACAUGUACAAAAGCCAUUUGUGAAUGGAUUCUUUUUUCGAGUCCCUGCUUGCUUCCUGGCAGUUUCCAUUUCUACAGACAAGUCUUCUGGAAACCCUCAUACUGCGCAAAAUCCUCGUGAGGAAGCGCCGCUCGAAUUUGCGGAGGGGACAACUGCUGAUGGGCGGAGCAUGCACGCAGUGUCCCGUCGUCAAGGACCCAUUUUAGGUUUACUCAUGGGUUCCCUUGUUUCCUUUACCACUGAUUUCAUAGGGUUGUCAUUGUGGGAGUGAAGCUCCACAUAAUUUCAACCCAAUUGAGAUAACUGAAGGUACCUCGUUGCAACGGAGACAGCUAGAACGAAAGCUCCACCUUUUCAUUCCUGCCCUUUCUAUCCUUGAAAGUUUCAAAAAACAAUACUGCCCAAAGGUGUACUCUACUCCCUAAUAGCAUGCAAACUAUCACUGGCCCAGUAUGAGGCAGCCCACUGCUAAUAUUAGUCGGACGAUGCACAGCCACAUGAAAUUUGCAAAAUGCUCAACAUAACCGAUUCCUUCAAUUUGUGUGACAUCCUUCUGUUCUCAUGGGUUUCUUUCUACUGCACAGACUCAUUUUGCUGAGAUGGCAUGUUUACAAAGUGGUCACCGAGAAAGAAAGGGAAUAUUUUGGUGACUGACGGCAUCUCUUCCGUCAUGGUAUCAAUCUGGCAACGACUAUCUGGCACCUCUAGAAAUGUGAUGCCUUCUUUGAAUUGGAGCGGUGGUAUGUGGUAUUUGUUCUUCGCUGGAUUUUGUAUGGUAGAGCCUUGUGGGUACAUGGAUAUUUAUAUACAUUUGCACGUGUGUGUAUAUAUACUGCUUCCUGAUCCCAUCCGAACUCGAGAUGUUAGUGGUAAUCUUUGACUUCGACUAGGUAGUCUGCAUUGGCGUCUUCUUGUUUCCUUAGGUGGCUAGGACACGCCCUUGGCUAUUGUGUUGCUGCGGAGAAUUGGUGGCUGCAAGUUGCUGCAUUGUCAUCGAGGAAUUUUUUUUGAACAGCAAACAGGGUGGAUUCUCCAUUGACCAUUACAAAGAUGGGAGAUGCGGUGCGAUAACUCCUAUCGAACUGGAGCCUUGAAUUCGCUCACCGAUGAGUAGAUAAAGACAUGUCAGUCUUGAAAGAUAUCUUUGGUGUGAAACAAUCAACCUUUAUUGUCGGUAAAGGUGGAGAUAGUCAUCCUCUUUCGUGUUCAAAUUAACAAUGGGGAUUGUGCCGGAGCUAUUCAAGAUUAUUUAAGGAAAAGUGGGAAUGAGCAUUUAAACGGGAAAAUACCACGGCCUUGAUGACAGGUUUUAUUUGUUUUCACUUUCUUCAAGAAAAAAAGCAUGUGCGAGUAAAUUUGCAUUAUCAUUAAUCUAUUCCACAGCUCCUACAAUAUAAUCAUCAAAGGAAUCACUAUCUAUACUAGAUCUA